AAACUGAAGAGUUUGAUCAUGGCUCAGAUUGAACGCUGGCGGCAGGCCUAACACAUGCAAGUCGAGCCGCAGCACAGAGGAACUUGUUCCCUGGGUGGCGCGCGGCGGACGGGUGAGUAAUGCCUGGGAAAGUGCCCGGUAGAGGGGGAUAACCAUUGGAAACGAUGG
rnacentral:rRNA from 1 species